UGGGGAAUAUUGCACAAUGGGCGCAAGCCUGAUGCAGCCAUGCCGCGUGUGUGAAGAAGGCCUUCGGGUUGUAAAGCACUUUCAGCGAGGAGGAAGGUGGUGAGCUUAAUACGCUCAUCAAUUGACGUUACUCGCAGAAGAAGCACCGGCUAACUCCGUGCCAGCAGCCGCGGUAAUACGGAGGGUGCAAGCGUUAAUCGGAAUUACUGGGCGUAAAGCGCACGCAGGCGGUUUGUUAAGUCAGAUGUGAAAUCCCCGGGCUCAACCUGGGAACUGCAUUUGAAACUGGCAAGCUAGAGUCUCGUAGAGGGGGGUAGAAUUCCAGGUGUAGCGGUGAAAUGCGUAGAGAUCUGGAGGAAUACCGGUGGCGAAGGCGGCCCCCUGGACGAAGACUGACGCUCAGGUGCGAAAGCGUGGGGCAGCAAACAGGAUUAGAUACCCUGGUAGUCCACGCUGUAAACGAUGUCGAUUUUGGAGGUUGUGCCCUUGAGGCGUGGCUUCCGGAGCUAACGCGUUAAAGUCGACCGCCUGGGGAGUACGGCCGCAAGGUUAAAACUCAAAGUGAAUUGACGGGGUC
rnacentral:rRNA from 1 species